rnacentral:pre_miRNA from 3 species
UCUUAUGGAUGAGCAAAGAAAGUGGUUUCUUGAGAUGGAAUCUGCUCCUGGAAAAGAUACUGUGAA